GAGGGGGUGGUUAGUGGGUGAUGGAAGUCCCUCACAAGUCUGAUGACAAGGCUGCAACCAUUAUGGACCACUCCCACGGUUCAUUUUAUCAGGCCAGGAAAAGGCAAGUGGCCUUCCCAAGGUCACUUAUCCCCCGAGAGGCAACGCUGACCCCAGAACCGCGGUCUUCAAAGCUUUCCAUUGCGCCAUGAAGGAAAAUUUUGAGUUGAAGCCUAUAAAAUACAGCGUUGGGCGAGGGAUGGCAUGAUUUCCGGGCACAGAGUGAGAAAAUCGUGAUCCCAGAUCACCCACCCACAACAAACGAGACAGCCCCAAAUCUUGACUGCAGCCUCAACCAGCAGACGCACAGGAAUGCUGGAAACAGCUCAUCCAUCAAUCGCGGCGUCCUCUCUCUGGGCCCCCAGCGCCCCUGCCCUCGCCUCCGCCCAGGUGGAACCUGAGACUUGCCUCUUAAUGCAAAGGUGACGGGAUGUCUUUGUCUGUGUAUGGCCCCAUCUUGCUGACAUGCUGGAGAGGUUCUCCUUGCAGGCUUGAUUAUGUGAGCAGCUAUGUUGAAGAAGUUUACAAGGCAGCCUCUAGAACCGAAGGAUAACCUUCAGCCAACAGCCAGCAAAACACCGGAGCUCUUAGUAACACAGCCACAAGGAAAUAAAGUCUGUGAACAACCUGAGUGAGCUUGGAGGUGGACUCUUCCCCACUUAAGCAUCCAGCUGAAAACACAGCUCAGCUGACACCUUGAUUGCAGCCUUGCGAGACCUUGAACACAAUACUGUUCUAUUCAGAAGAUGGAUGGAGUUUGCUAGAUAAGCAUCUGGCUAUACCUGGACUUCUGAUUUGCAGAAACUGUGAGAUAAUAAAUGUGUGUUGUUUUAAGCUGCUAA